CGUUUGUGUAUGAUUUUUUAUUUGAGAGGAGAGGUGUGUAAGGGAACGGUCAAUAUUUAUUGGGGGUGGGGGGGGGGGGGGUGCAAUGCAUAUUCAUCCCUUAAAAAAAUCCAUGUCCUACCCUCUGAAUAUACCAAAAAAAUGUUUCUGUCCUAUAUGAAAUAUCUACUAAAUAAGUAUAUUACCUAUCUUAUCUAUGAAUAAAUCAAACAGACUUUAACUUCAUUUCAUUUUUAUCAGAUUAACAUAGAUCACACAUAGUAGUCUUUGAAUUUGUUUGGAAAUUUAAAAUGAUCUCCUCCUUGAAGAAGGCAAAUAAGAUUAC
rnacentral:lncRNA from 1 species